AUUGAACGCUGGCGGCAUGCUUUACACAUGCAAGUCGAACGGCAGCACGGGGGCAACCCUGGUGGCGAGUGGCGAACGGGUGAGUAAUGCAUCGGAACGUACCCAGUCGUGGGGGACAACUAGUCGAAAGAUUAGCUAAUACCGCAUACGACCUGAGGGUGAAAGUGGGGGACCGCAAGGCCUCACGCGAUUGGAGCGGCCGAUGUCUGAUUAGCUAGUUGGUGGGGUAAAGGCCCACCAAGGCGACGAUCAGUAGCGGGUCUGAGAGGAUGGCCAGCCACAUUGGGACUGAGAGACGGCCCAGACUCCUACGGGAGGCAGCAGUGGGGAAUCUUGCGCAAUGGCCGAAAGGCUGACGCAGCGACGCCGCGUGGAGGAUGACGCCCUCGGGUGGUAAACGUACCUCGUUGUCCCGGGACCGGAACGUAGCC
rnacentral:rRNA from 1 species